rnacentral:rRNA from 1 species
UACGUAGGGGGCUAGCGUUGUCCGGAAUCAUUGGGCGUAAAGCGCGUGUAGGCGGUCCGGUAAGUCCGCUGUGAAAGUCGGGGGCUCAACCCUCGGAUGCCGGUGGAUACUGUCGGGCUUGAGUACGGAAGAGGCGAGUGGAAUUCCUGGUGUAGCGGUGAAAUGCGUAGAGAUCUGGAGGAACACCGAUGGCGAAGGCAGCCUUCUGGGCCAACACUGACGCUCAUGCACGAAAGCGUGGGGAGCAAACAGG